rnacentral:rRNA from 1 species
UACGUAGGGUGCGAGCGUUGUCCGGAAUUACUGGGCGUAAAGAGCUCGUAGGUGGUUUGUCGCGUUGUUCGUGAAAACUCACAACGCAAUUGUGGGCGUGCGGGCGAUACGGGCAGACUGGAGUACUGCAGGGGAGACUGGAAUUCCUGGUGUAGCGGUGGAAUGCGCAGAUAUCAGGAGGAACACCGGUGGCGAAGGCGGGUCUCUGGGCAGUAACUGACGCUGAGGAGCGAAAGCGUGGGGAGCGAACAGG